UGGAAUCUUGCCCUCUGAACUAACCAUUAGGAGGUGCUCAUAGUUUGGAACAAUUCCUUCAGACCUUGAAAGUUCAUUCUGAGGUCUUGAAGAAAAUAAGGACAAUUAAGGAAAAAUGCAAAGAAGCAACUGGUGCUGUUUCUGAGGAAGCACAGACAACACCAAAACAGAACAGCUCCUUCAUUGUGGGGAGGAGAAAAUGAGACAAAGAGAACAACAGAGUAAAAAGUGUCAGAAAGAAAUGGGCCUACUCCCACCCAUCCCUUCCUGAUAAUUACAAGCGAUGGAGACUCCAAAGAGCGUGAAGAUUCCUGGGAAGAUUUGCAUUCGCCCGCUUCCAGAAUAUAGUAAACAGACCCUAAGCCUUUAGAAAGGUUCUGUGUUGAGCGGCAAGCCUCAGCUGUCCAAAAGACGUAGUUAGAGAAUCUCAUCUAGAGGCUCACAAGCCCUGAAAGAAAGGUCGCAGAGAAGGGAGGGCUCAAUCUUUGAGUCAUACCGAAGAGGAAACAGGAUGAGGAGUGGGCAGAAGAGGACAGUUUAGUCCAGGAUGUGCUGGGGCA